CAGCCGCCGCGGUAAUACGUAGGGGGCGAGCGUUGUCCGGAUUUAUUGGGCGUAAAGAGCGUGUAGGUGGUUCGAAAGGUCGUGCGUCAAAUCCUGCGGCUCAACCGCAGUCCGCGUGCGAAACCAUCGAGCUAGAGUCCGGAAGAGGAGAGUGGAAUUCCAGGUGUAGCGGUGGAAUGCGCAGAUAUCUGGAAGAACACCAGUGGCGAAGGCGGCUCUCUGGGACGGUACUGACACUGAGACGCGAAAGCGUGGGGAGCAAACAGGAUUAGAUACCCUGGUAGUCCACGCUGUAAACGAUGGGUGCUAGGUGUGGGGGGUGUCGACUCCCUCCGUGCCGAAGCUAACGCAUUAAGCACCCCGCCUGGGGACUACGGCCGCAAGGCUAAAACUCAAAGGAAUUGACGG
rnacentral:rRNA from 1 species